rnacentral:rRNA from 1 species
GAACGCUAGCUACAGGCUUAACACAUGCAAGUCGAGGGGCAGCAUGAACUUAGCUUGCUAAGUUGAUGGCGACCGGCGCACGGGUGAGUAACACGUAUCCAACCUGCGAUGACUCGGGGAUAGCCUUUCGAAAGAAAGAUUAAUACCUGAUGGUAUGAUGAGAUCGCAUGGUAUCAUCAUUAAAGAUUUAUCGGUGUACGAUGGGGAUGCGUUCCAUUAGGUAGUAGGCGGGGUAACGGCCCACCUAGCCUACGAUGGAUAGGGGUUCUGAGAGGAAGGUCCCCCACAUUGGAACUGAGACACGGUCCAAACUCCUACGGGAGGCAGCAGUGAGGAAUAUUGGUCAAUGGACGAGAGUCUGAACCAGCCAAGUAGCGUGAAGGAUGAAGGUCCUACGGAUUGUAAACUUCUUUUAUAAGGGAAUAAAACCUCCCACGUGUGGGAGCUUGUAUGUACCUUAUGAAUAAGCAUCGGCUAACUCCGUG